rnacentral:misc_RNA from 1 species
AACACUGUUAACCUGCGGUACCUGCGGAGGGAUCAUUACAAGUGACCCCGGUUUACCACCGGGAUGUUCAUAACCCUUUGUUGUCCGACUCUGUUGCCUCCGGGGCGACCCUGCCUUCGGGCGGGGGCUCCGGGUGGACACUUCAAACUCUUGCGUAACUUUGCAGUCUGAGUAAACUUAAUUAAUAAAUUAAAACUUUUAACAACGGAUCU